AUUUUAUAUGAGAGAUGUGGGAAGGGGGCAGUUGAAAUUUGGACCUCAGGUGCAGAGGUGAAUGUUAAUUGAGAGCCCCUUGCGAAAAUUAUAUAUUUGAAAUAAAAUUAUUUCUUUUGCAUAAAGAAUUGGUUGAGGCUUUUGUUUUUCUGUUUUUUCUCCUUGUGUCUAUAGAACCAAAGGCAUUUUUUUUGUCUUUCUGACACAUUUUUGUUUUCGCAUUAUACUGUCUUUUUAAUGAGUAUCUAUAACUGAAAUAGAAGUUGAACGUAUGAGAAUUUAUUCCAUAUCUGAUUUAUUUGUCUGCCUGCAGCUUUCUUUGUCCAUCGUUUAUAUUGCCGCUGGUGUUUUUGCUGCUGGUUGGAUUGAGGUCUCAUGCUGGAUUCUGACGGGAGGGAGAACGCCAGACUGCUGUCAUCAGGUCAAACUAUGUUCAAGUAUUACUUAACCAGGAUAUGAGUUUUUUUGAUACCUAUGGGAACAACGGGGACAUUGUGAGCCAAGUAUUGAGUGAUGUGUUGCUCAUUCAGUCUGCUCUUAGUGAAAAAGUUGGAAAUUAUAUUCAUAACAUGGCUACAUUUUUCAGUGGUCUCAUUAUUGGAUUCAUCAACUGUUGGCAGAUUGCGGCUAUAACAUUAGCCACCGGUCCUUUUAUUGUGGCUGCUGGAGGAAUAUCAAAUAUAUUUCUUCAUAGGCUUGCUGAGAAUAUUCAAGAUGCAUAUGCUGAAGCAGCUAGCAUUGCUGAACAGGCAGUCUCUCUUACAUUAGGACGUUAUAUGCAUUUACAAAUGAAACAUUGGCCAAGUAUUCGUAUGCUACAUCACUGCAAGCAACUCUAAGAUAUGGCAUAUUGAUAAGUCUUGUGCAAGGACUUGGACUUGGAUUCACUUUAUGGCCUUGCCAUUUGUUCUUGUGCCCUGCAACUGUGGGUUGGAAGGUUCCUGGUUACUAGUCAUGAAGCUCAUGGUGGUGAAAUUAUAACAGCCCUUUUUGCUGUAAUAUUAAGUGGCCUUGGGCUGAAUCAAGCGGCAACAAACUUCUACUCAUUUGACCAAGGUCGAAUUGCUGCUUAUAGACUUUUUGAGAUGAUAAGUCGAUCAUCCUCUACUGUUAAUCACGAGGGAAGUGCCCUAGCGACUGUACAAGGAAAUAUUGAGUUUCGAAAUGUAUAUUUCAGUUAUCUAUCUCGUCCUGAGAUCCCCAUAUUGAGUGGUUUUUUACCUCACUGUACCUGCUAAGAAAGCUGUAGCACUCGUUGGCAGAAAUGGUUCAGGAAAAGAGCAGUAUUAUCCCCCUCAUGGAGCGGUUUUAUGAUCCAACUUUAGGAGAAGUUCUUUUGGAUGGAGAAAAUAUCAAAAACCUGAGACUGGAGUGGCUAAGAAGUCAGAUAGGGCUAGUCACACAGGAGCCUGCUUUGCUGAGUUUAAGUAUAAGAGACAAUAUUGCUUAUGGGCGGGAUGCUACAAUGGACCAAAUUGAAGAAGCUGCUAAAAUAGCGCAUGCGCAUACAUUUAUUACCUCACUUGAGGGAGGAUACGAUACACAGGUG